GAUGAACGCUGGCGGCGUGCUUAACACAUGCAAGUCGAACGAAGCACUUAUCUUUGAUUCUUCGGAUGAAGAGGUUUGUGACUGAGUGGCGGACGGGUGAGUAACGCGUGGGUAACCUGCCUCAUACAGGGGGAUAACAGUUAGAAAUGACUGCUAAUACCGCAUAAGACCACGGAGCCGCAUGGCUCAGUGGGAAAAACUCCGGUGGUAUGAGAUGGACCCGCGUCUGAUUAGGUAGUUGGUGGGGUAACGGCCUACCAAGCCAACGAUCAGUAGCCGACCUGAGAGGGUGAUCGGCCACAUUGGGACUGAGACACGGCCCAAACUCCUACGGGAGGCAGCAGUGGGGAAUAUUGCACAAUGGGGGAAACCCUGAUGCAGCGACGCCGCGUGAGCGAAGAAGUAUUUCGGUAUGUAAAGCUCUAUCAGCAGGGAAGAAAAUGACGGUACCUGACUAAGAAGCACCGGCUAAAUACGUG
rnacentral:rRNA from 1 species